UACGUAGGGGGCUAGCGUUGUCCGGAAUCAUUGGGCGUAAAGAGCGCGUAGGCGGCCAGAUAAGUCCGGUGUGAAAGUCAAAGGCUCAACCUUUGAAUGCCGCUGGAAACUGUCUGGCUAGAGUCCGGGAGGGGCGAGUGGAAUUCCUGGUGUAGCGGUGAAAUGCGCAGAUAUCGGGAAGAACACCCGUGGCGAAGGCGGUUCUCUGGGACGGUACUGACGCUGAGACGCGAAAGCGUGGGGAGCGAACAGG
rnacentral:rRNA from 1 species